GGAGCUAUGGCUCAGUGGUAGAGCACUUGCCUAGCAUGCAAGGCCCUGGAUUCAAACUCCAGCACCACCC
rnacentral:tRNA from 1 species